rnacentral:rRNA from 1 species
UUAUCAAAAACAUCGCCUGUUUAUCAAAAACAUGGCCUAUUAGAUAAGAAUAAUAGGUCUAUUCUGCCCAUUGAUAAAUAUUAAAAGGCUGCAGUAUAUUGACUGUACAAAGGUAGCAAAAUCAUUUGUUUUUUAAUUGAAAACUGGAAUGAAAGAGUGGAUGAAAUAUAAAUUGUCUCAAUAUAAUAAUAUUGAAUUUAAAUUAAAAGUUAAAAUGCUUUUAUAUAUUUAUAAGACGAUAAGACCCUAUAGAAUUUAAUAGAAUUUAUUUUUUAAAAUUAAUAUUUUAAUAAAAUUUAAUAAAUAAAUAUAUUUUAUUGGGAGGAUAAUUAAAUAAAUAAAACUUUAAUAAUAUUUUAACAUAGAUUAAUGAAUUAAUUGAUUAUUUUUAUAAUUAUUAGAAUAAAUUACCUUAGGGAUAACAGCGUUAUAAUUUUGGAGAGUUCAUAUUGAUAAAAUUGUUUGCGACCUCGAUGUUGAAUUAUGAUAAAAGUUAAAUGGAGAAAUUUAAAUUUUUAGUCUGUUCGACUAUUAAAAUCAUACAUGAUCUGAGUUCAAACCGGAGA